rnacentral:rRNA from 1 species
CCUACGGGUGGCAGCAGUGGGGAAUAUUGGACAAUGGGCGAAAGCCUGAUCCAGCCAUGCCGCGUGUGUGAAGAAGGCCUUCGGGUUGUAAAGCACUUUCAGUGGGGAAGAAAGCCUUGGGGCUAAUACCCUCGAGGAAGGACAUCACCCACAGAAGAAGCACCGGCUAACUCCGUGCCAGCAGCCGCGGUAAUACGGAGGGUGCGAGCGUUAAUCGGAAUUACUGGGCGUAAAGCGCGCGUAGGCGGUCUGAUAAGCCGGUUGUGAAAGCCCCGGGCUCAACCUGGGAACGGCAUCCGGAACUGUCAGGCUAGAGUGCAGGAGAGGAAGGUAGAAUUCCCGGUGUAGCGGUGAAAUGCGUAGAGAUCGGGAGGAAUACCAGUGGCGAAGGCGGCCUUCUGGACUGAAACUGACGCUGAGGUGCGAAAGCGUGGGUAGCAAACAGGAUUAGAUACCCCAGUAUC